rnacentral:tRNA from 9 species
GCAUCCGUAGCUCAGCUGGAUAGAGUACUCGGCUACGAACCGAGCGGUCGGAGGUUAGAAUCCUCCCGGAUGCACCA